AACGCACAUUGCGCCCGCCAGUAUUCUGGCGGGCAUGCCUGUUCGAGCGUCAUUUCAACCAUCAAGCCCCCGGCUUGCGUUGGGGCCCUGCGGCUGCCGCAGGCCCUUAAAAACAGUGGCGGGCUCGCUGUCACACCGAGCGUAGUAAUACAUCUCGCUUUGGACGUGCGGCGGGUUCUUGCCGUGAAACACCCCCCUUCUCAAGGUUGACCUCGGAUCAGGUAGGAAUACCCGCUGAACUUAA
rnacentral:misc_RNA from 2 species